rnacentral:rRNA from 1 species
UACAGAGGGUGCAAGCGUUAAUCGGAAUUACUGGGCGUAAAGCGUGCGUAGUCGGUUAUUUAAGUCGGGUGUGAAAGCCCCGGGCUCAACCUGGGAAUUGCAUUCGAUACUGGAUAGCUAGAGUUCGGCAGAGGGAAGCGGAAUUUCCGGUGUAGCGGUGAAAUGCGUAGAUAUCGGAAGGAACAUCAGUGGCGAAAGCGGCUUCCUGGACCAGAACUGACGAUCAGGCACGAAAGCCAGGGGAGCAAACGGG